rnacentral:rRNA from 1 species
UACAGAGGGGGCAAGCGUUGUUCGGAAUUACUGGGCGUAAAGGGCGCGUAGGCGGCCUGCUAAGUCGAACGUGAAAUCCCCGGGCUCAACCCGGGAACUGCGUCCGAUACUGGCAGGCUUGAAUCCGGGAGAGGGAUGUGGAAUUCCAGGUGUAGCGGUGAAAUGCGUAGAUAUCUGGAGGAACCCCAGAGGCGAAGGCGGCGCUCUGGCUCGCAACUGACGCUCAGACACGACAGCAUGGGGAGCGAACGGG